AAGAACACUAACGGUAUUCCCGGAGAGCAAGACGUGCGGAAGUUCUUUUCGACUCGGAGCGGUGCGGUGUGCAGCAGCAGAUCCAUGAUUACAUAGUGAAGAAUGUCAAGUACUUUCCCCGUUGUGCUCGUCUUACCAGUGAUGAAAAUGGCAAGAAAGUGAUGACCGUGUGCACCAACAAACACAUGAUUUGAAGUCCUCCAUCCUCACUGAGAGAGACACUAACGAUGUUUUGUGAUCAUGGCUAUGCUGGUAUGGUCAGGAGACUGCUGUGGAAGUUUCCCCUCCAGAGUCAACCAGGAUUACAUAGUGAAGAAUGUCAAGUACUUUCCCCGUUGUGCUCGUCACGAAGUAUUUCUGUAAAGUCCUGAACGUCUUACCAGUGAUGAAAAUGGCAAGAAAGUGAUGACCAACAAACACAUGAUAGAAGUCAUCCAUCCUCACUGAGAGAGACACUAACGAGAUCAUCAGAGUCUUACGCCAUCAAGAAUACACACUGGGUAGAGAUACCAAGUUACAGAUAAACAUCUGGUGCUUUUACAAAAAUAAAAUCUACUUAAUUUA